UUCAACACGAUCGCCUUCUGCACAGAAAUAAUCGUGUCCAUCUUCACCUUCAGGAUAACACCAGUAACAUAGGUGCCCCGAUCUGAUACCACUUGUUAGUGCAAAGAUGACACAAUAAUAGGUAAUGCAGAAGAUAAAUCAAGAGAUAAAUACACAAGCAAACACCAAUGCUUUUAUUAGAAUCUCCUUUAAACAAUCUUUACAAGACUUGCUUAUUCAGCUUUUACACGUCUAGUGUUAACAUCCUAACACACGCUACUGAAAGAUUCCUAAGCUACCCGCUUAU
rnacentral:lncRNA from 1 species